GACGAACGCUGGCGGCGUGCUUAACACAUGCAAGUCGAACGGAAAGGCCCUGCUUUUGUGGGGUGCUCGAGUGGCGAACGGGUGAGUAACACGUGAGUAACCUGCCCUUGACUUUGGGAUAACUUCAGGAAACUGGGGCUAAUACCGGAUAGGAGCUCCUGCUGCAUGGUGGGGGUUGGAACGUUUCGGUGGUUGGGGAUGGACUCGCGGCUUAUCAGCUUGUUGGUGGGGUAGUGGCUUACCAAGGCUUUGACGGGUAGCCGGCCUGAGAGGGUGACCGGCCUCAUUGGGACUGAGGUACGGCCCAGACUCCAACGGGAGGCAGCAGUGGGGAAUAUUGCACAGUGGGCGGAAGCCUGAUGCAGCAACGCCGCGUGCGGGAUGACGGCCUUCGGGUUGUAAACCGCUUUCGCCUGUGACGAAGCGUGAGUGACGGUAAUGGGUAAAGAAGCACCGGCUAACUACGUG
rnacentral:rRNA from 1 species